AAACCAACAGGGAUUGCCCUAGUAACGGCGAGUGAAGCGGCAAGAGCUCAAAUUUGAAAUCUGGCCCUCUCAGGGUCCGAGUUGUAAUUUGUAGAGGGNGCUUUGGCGUUGGCCCCGGCCUAAGUUCCUUGGAACAGGACGUCACAGAGGGUGAGAACCCCGUACGUGGCCGCCGGCCUCCGCCGUGUAAAGCCCCUUCNACGAGUCGAGUUGUUUGGGAAUGCAGCUCUAAAUGGGAGGUAAAUUUCUUCUAAAGCUAAAUACUGGCCAGAGACCGAUAGCGCACAAGUAGAGUGAUCGAAAGAUGAAAAGCACUUUGGAAAGAGAGUCAAAAAGCACGUGAAAUUGUUGAAAGGGAAGCGCUUGCAGCCAGACUUGCCUGUAGUUGUUCAUCCGUGCCACUGGCACGGUGCACUCUUCUGCGGGCAGGCCAGCAUCAGUCCGGGCGGUCGGAUAAAGGCCUCGGGAAUGUAGCUCCCCUCGGGGAGUGUUAUAGCCCGGGGUGCCAUGCGACCAGCCUGGACUGAGGUCCGCGCAUCUGCUAGGAUGCUGGCGUAAUGGCUGUAAGCGGC
rnacentral:rRNA from 1 species